UCUCUGUAAAUCUCAAAGGUCCAAUUUGUUAAAAAAAUGGCUAUGCAACCAGAUGAGAGAAACCCUGGAGAAAAUGUUACAAAGUUCUGCACAAUGAUUUUAUCCGAUCAACAAUCACACAUGAUCUUUCCAGAAAGAUUUCAAACACAUUUUCAAGGUGAGCUAGGCCCAACAUGUCAACUUGAAAACAGGCAAAAAUUCUGGACAGUAGAAGUCUAACUACUUCCAUACGGAAAAAUGUGCUUGGAUGAUGGAUGGCAGAAAUUCCACAAGGAUAACGAUUUGAAAGCUGGAGAUGUCUUGACUUUUCAUCUGAAUUCACCCAAUUCUUUCUACGUAGAUAUAUAUGAUGGUGCUACGCAAUGUUGUAAACGCCAAAAACCACAAUGAGUGAUGAUAGAUGACAAAUGGAAUGUUUUGAAGAAUUGCUGAUCAGGUAAUUAAAUUUUAAAAACUAUAAUUUGUGGAACAAACAAUAUGUAUUUUUAAUUGAUUAUGUUUUAAGUACUCUACCGUAGUGACAAUAUCAAGUAUGUACUCAUCAAUUAACAUCUAUUUUAAAUUAUAUUUAUGAUGCAAUUAUCGAUAA